rnacentral:lncRNA from 1 species
GUAGAAUGACCAGAUUAAAUCAGUGCACUUCUUUAAGCGGUGUCCAGGCCUCAAAGAUACAGCGUCAUCUUGCAGGCUAGUCAAGGUUUCAGGAGAAUCAAGUCCAUGGACUUAUUCACUUAUCUCCAAGCAGAGACAACUAGACAGAGGGAUAGAUGAUUGAGAAUGAAGAAAAGAAGAAGACAAAAAUGAAGACAAAGAAGGAGAAGGAGGAGAAAGAGGAACGGAGACGGAGAGAAAGAGAGACUGAUCUGGACUCAUAUCGCCUGGAUCUUGAACCCUGACUUUUUGCUGUUAUUGUUGUUCUAUAUGACAUUGAUCAUAUUAGUAAAUUUCCUGUGCUUCCAUUUCCUCAUCUGUAAUGUGAGAAUAAAAAUAGUAAUGCUGCUUUUGGAUUCUUGGGAAUAUUAAAUACCCAAGAAAAAUAUUUUUAAUAUUUUUAUUACAAGAUGAAGCCCAAACUCUUUUUCUGGCAUCCAAUAUCCUCAUUAUUUUUGUGCCCAGUUAUUUUCUCACUCCUAUAUUCUUAUUUUUCCCCAUUCUUUUAUUCCUUCCACAUUCCAAUCAAAUGAAUAUCAUGGGACUGACUACAGGUUGUCACAAUGAUCUCUUCCUCUGUCUUAAACCAAAACUUAUUUCAACCUCACCUUCCCAUCGCAGGUGAUGCUAAAUCACCAGUUGCUGGGACUAAGAACCUGAAUCAUUCAGGAUCCUUCUCUUGUGUUUUCCCUCAUAUCCCAGGCAUGGUCUAUAGAUUCUAAUUCUGAAAAAGAGCUGAAUUUUCCUCCUCUCUCCAUCCCACCUAGAAUAACCUUCCACCAUCUCUUAUCUGGGUUACUGUAACAGCCUCUUCAGUGGGCUCCCUGCCUCCAGCCUUUUUUUUUUUUUUUUUUUUUGAGACAGAGUCUUGCUCUUGUUGCCCAGGCUGGAGUGCAGUGGCGUGAUCUUGGCUCACUGCAACGUGUGCCUCCUGGGUUCAAGCGAUUUUCCUGCCUCAGCCUCCUGAGUAGCUGGGAUUACACCACCAUGCCCAGCUAAUUUUUGUAUUUUUAGUAGAGAUGCGGUUUCCAUCAUGUUGGCCAGGCUGGUCUCAAACUCCUGACCUUAGGUGAUCCACCUGCCUCGGCCUCCCAAAGUUUAGCUGCACAUACCUGGCAGAGUUGGUGAUCUAAAAGCACAAAUCACAUCCUGCUUUUUCCCUUCUCAAAGCUUCCAACAGCUUGUCACUGUGCCUAGAACAAAAUUCAAACUCUUUAUCAUGCUUUACAUGAUCCGGCAUUUGCCUACCUUUCCAAUGCCAUCUGUGAUUAAUUUUCCUAUUGCUCGCUCUCCUGAGGACAAACUUGUUUUCUCUCUGAUCCUUGAGCAAAGCAGGCUUGAUACAGCCUUUGCCCUUCCUACUUUAUUGUCUGGAAACCUCUCCUAUUUGCUGUUUUCUUGACAGCCUCUUUCUCAUGAUUCAAAUCUCUGUCCAAAUGCCAUCUUCUGCAAAAGACCCUACCUGGCUAGUCUAUAAAGCACCCCUUUCACCACCUUCAUUCAUUCAUUGUCAUAUAAUGCUUUUUGUUUUCUUCGUAAAUCUACAUAGCUUUUUCUAUUCUGAGAUUAUCUUAUCUGUUUACAUCUUCAGCCUGUCUUCCCUCCCCAGGAUAUGACAAUGAAGCUGCGUACCUUCUCUGACUUGGUUAUCAUUUCAUGCCUAGGAGUCAAUAGAUAUUUAAUAAAUAUAUUUUGGAUGAAUUCAUUCAUUCCCUCAUUCAUUUAUUCAUUCAUUCUGAGCCUUUGAAGGGUCAUGCUGAUUCUUUUCUUCGACCUUAGUCUUUUCUUCUCUUUGUGAGAUGAUAAACUCAUAAAUCUCCUUCCAAAACUCAACUCAAGCAUUAAUCUCUACAUCCUUUCACAGCACUCCAACUCCCUGGUGAUUUCACAGAGCCCUGAGCUUAUGACUGCCACUAUGCUUCUGUGUAAUUGCAGUUAUAUGUCUCCGCCCCUCCAACUAUGAGUUCUUCCAAUGUAAGAGCCACAUCUCUUGUCUCUGAAUUCCCAUUGCUCACUGGAGAACCUGGCAUCUAGCUAGGCAGAAAAGCAAAACGAUUUGUGUCAGGUAACUUAGGUUAAAUCUAUGACUUUGCUAAUUGAUUGCCUUUGAAGGCAAUUCAUAACAUUUCUGAUUAUUUAUUUCCUUACCUGUUAAAUGGACCUUUUCAGCAUAAUUUUCUUUUGGAAUUGUUUUUGUUUUUAUAAGCAUGUAGGUACAUGUUCUUCCACUUUUGCACAAAUGGAAAUAUAUUAUGCGUAUUAGCUCUCUCCCUGCUACUUUCACUUAACAAUUUGUUUUAAUUUCAUCCUGAGAUCUUUCCACAUCUGUUGGAUCAUUCAUUUUGAUGGUUGCAUAUUAUUAUAUAAUAUAGAUUAUCAUAAUUAUUAACUGGCUCCCUAUUGAUUGGCAUUUAUUUUCAAUCUUCUAUGAUUCCAAAACAAAAAUGUUGUAAUUAAUAGCCUUGAAUGUGUAUGUGAUCAAUGGCAAAUCUACUAGUAAGAUAACACUUCAGAAGUGGAAUUACUGAAUCAAAAGGUAUAUCCAUUUGUGAUAUAAGUUGCCAAAUUAUUCUUAAUAGAAUUAUACUAUUUAAACUCCUACCAAAAAUUAAUAAGAGUACAAGUUGUUGUACAUACUCACUAUCAUAAUAGGUUAUCAAAUAUUUUGACCUUUGCCGUUCUGACAGGUAGGAAAUGUUGAGUUGUAAUUUCUAUUUUUGUUUCUCUUCCCAUGAGUUAAGUUGAAUAUGUUUCUUGAAUAUAUUUCUAUGUGUUUAAGAAACAUUCAUAUAUAUUUUUCUUUCUUUCUUUUAUUUUUGAGACAAAGUCUCUGUCACCCAGGCUGGAGUGCAGUGGGGCAAUCUUGGCUCACUGCAACCUCCAUUUCCCAUGCUCAAGUGCUCCUCCCACCUCAGCCUCCCGAGUAGCUGGGACUACAGAUGCAUGCCACCACACCCAGCUAAUUUUUGUAUUUUUUAGUAGAGAUGGGGUUUUGCCAUGUUGGCCAGGCUGGUCUUGAACUCCUGGCCUCAAGGCAUUCUCUCAACUUGACCUCCCAAAAUGCUGGGAUUACUGGUGUGACCCAUUGCACCCGGCCCAUUCAUAUGUAUUUUUCUGUGAAUUAUUCCAUAACAUUAUUUUCUCAUUAAUCUAUUCCAUUGUUAGUCUUUUCUAUUCAAUAUGUAGAAGCUCUUUAUAUAUAAUAUUAACACUUUGUCUAUAUUGUCUAUGCAGAUAUUUGUCCUAGUUUUUUGUUUGUUCGUAUAGUAAAAUUUAUGACUUGUGAAUUUAAACUUGUAAAGGCCUUCUCAUUCUAGCAUUUAUUUUUAAUUCUCUAAUGUUCUUCAAGUAUACAGUUUCACUUUUUAUGUCUAAGUCUUGAAUUCAGGUUCAUCUAUAACUUAUUUCACUGUAACUUGUGAGAGAGCUAUCUGUAUUACUGUUUGCACAUGGUUAGUCAGUUGUUCCUACACUAUUUAUGGAAUAAUUGUGUUCAGUAAUCAUAAUUCUCAAGUUUAUUGUAGUCUUAAUUCUACAGUUAAAUGGGUUCAGCUAUCUCUAUCAUUUGCUAUAGUUUCUUCUCCCACUGUUCUCAGAAUUGUUUUGAAGGUAAAAGGUAAUAUGAAUUAGCCUAACAGGGGCUAGGCGCUCAACGAAUUUUAACUCGAUUGCUAUUGAGAGUCUUGUUAAAUUAUUUUGUUUGUUUCAAUAUACAAGUCACUCUAUUUAGUUAAUAAAUAUUAUAAUAACCCAAAGGAAUAACUGUCACAGCAUUUAUUGGGCAACUAUUUAAAUAUACAAGCUUUGGAAGAUUUAUCUAAGCAAUUAUUUAUGCUGGCAUGUGUAGGAUCCUGAAAUGAACGGGA